GGCGAGGGGACCGGAGCCCGCCGCCUCCUCCCCGCCCCGGCUCCUGACGGCGCAGCCCGCGGCCGCAUCCCGCUGCCCCCCGGCCGAGGGCAGGCAGCCGUGCCUCUUCCUUCCUCCCCUCCCCUCCUCCCGGCCAGCUGCUGCGUCCACAUCUGUCCCCGCUGGCAGGAAGCCCCCCGGGGCGGCGGGGCCGGAGGGGAAGCCGCCUGCCCGCGGCCGGCAGCCGCCCUGCCCUGCCCGCGUCCUGGGUGUGGGGGAAGCAGCCUCCCUCUGCUCCUCUUCCUCAGCCGCAUCCCGCCCGGCCCCGCUCGCUCCUCCUGCCCCGGCCCCGAGGAGCCCCGCGGGGAGCGGUGCGGCCCCUUCGGUGGCUGCGGGUGUGUAAAGCAGCUGUCAGAGUUUCGGGGCAGCGCGUUUUUCGGCCGGCUCGGGCUGCGGAGCCGCCCCGGUGGGAUUGCUUGCUUAACUUCGUGAUGGAUGGUGCGUUUGCAUCACGGUUUUUCCUGUAAAAUUAACUUCGGCGAGCACGUGUUUAAGGCUGCUUUUCUACGGAGUCGUAACCCAAGCAGAAGGAUCCCAUAAUCUCUUGGAAAACGCUGUCCGAGUUCCAUGGAUGCACAAAGCCCAGCUGAGCUCCACACACUACAGCCGAAGUGCCUCUCGACAAGAAGUGUUCGUUGCUUGGCGGUAGCAUUAUCCCACUGUGUAAGGUGCUAAGCCGUUUUUUCCAAAAACCUCCCCAGACACCGGGUGUCACCGCCUUUUGUUGCUAAAUGUUACUUUUGCAGUUGAGGUGUAUGUUACCUGCUAGAGUAACCCUUCAGCUGGGCCUAACUGCUGUUACCCUACGCUGUAAGUCACGUACAAACUUCCAGCUUUAACACCUCUUCUCCGUGGCGAUCUUCAAAGUGACAGAUUGGUGCUUUGUCAUCUCUGCCGGUGCUAGGUGUGUACAAGGCUUUGCUGUCCUAGUGGAUGAUGCCUGUCUAAAGAGAACGUGGGGAUUCUAUACAGUGUUGAAACAGUUUUGUGGGCAUGGGAUCCCGAUGAGGUCUUACCCAGUGGUAUGGGUUGGUGGGAUAUUGAGGGCUGUGAAUGAAUACCAAGCUGAUCUUCUUUUAAGACAACUCUGAAAGUGAUGUGCUCGGUUAUCUUAGCUUGCAUCCCAGUUGUGUUUCUGUGAAUUGGAUUUCUAUGGGAAACACUGACUAGUGGCGUAAUUGUUUUGUACCCUUCCUUAAUACGCUGCUUUACUUGUUACAAUUUGCAGUAAUAUGCAACUAAGAAUAUAAAUAUCUUUCCAUUUAAUUAAAAGUGAUAUAUCUGCGUUAAAGAUGAGACCCGCAUUAAAUAAUUCAGAAGCACUUUAUUUUAUAACUCAGGAUGCAUUAUUUAAAAGUAGCUGUAUUUAGACUGACAACUCCCACUUCGUCUGAGGGUGUUGCAUGUUUGCUGUUGCAGUAGUUGGUGAUCAGUGGUUACACGAAACCACGAGAGCAGGGAACGUCAGGGAGCUGCACUUUCACCCAGCCAGUCCCUUUCAUUCAAAUCAGAUUUGUUAAGCUUCACUUACUCUGUGAAUGUGUUUGUAAGCUCAGGUUUUAAUUAAGUGGAUGGGGUUUGUCUUACAGCUAAGAAUAGACUUUUGAAAGAACCCGAAACAUGUACAUUACAUUUAUCAUUGAUGUUCGUGGGCCAUUUAACACUGUGCUGUUUUUCUCUGGAGGUUGCUUAUAUACUUAGUUGAAACAUUUCAGCAGCGUGGUAUUGAUGCCUUAGCACGCAGCUGCGCCCAAAAGUCUCUGCUGAAAACCUGAGGAUCAACACGCUCUAGUUCCUGCAAAACUGAGGAGGAGACAAGUAUUCAGUGGGACAACACCUUGCGUAUAUCUAGGAGCUGUUCACUCAAGCUGCAGUCUUGUUUAUAGGGUGAUGCUGUGGCAGUAGAGAAGCCAGGACCGAAAUUAUUUAGCACUUCUACGAGACUAAAGACAACGUCUUUGAACCUUAUCCUGGAAGCUGUUGCAUUUGUGGAGAACAUAUGUGUUCCCUGGAGAAAACGCAGCAGAACAAACAGGUGGCAAGUGCCCUGUGAAGUCUGAGCGGUUUUGAGCUGAAAUCCCAAAUGAGAAGUGUUGAAGCAGUUCUUGACUUCAUGACGUCUACUGGCAGUUUCUCCCUAUCUCUGAGACCUCAGUAUCUAGUACAUAAAAAGUGUCCUGGUAAAACUGCUUUUUGAAAUAUAUGUGUUUUAUUUUAUUUAUUUUUUAUGAGGAUAUUUGAAAUCUGUGUUCAGUUUUGAAGCAGUGUGUAUGAUGAUGAUGUACAAGUAGUGUUAUACUGGGGAGUUAAAUCAUGCAAAGUUCUCCCUGCAUCUGCAUCAAAUUUGGCUUCUUCACUUUUAAAGAUGCUGGUUAAGACAGUGCUCGUGCCUUUCUUAAACAAAACAGAUGAUUUCAUUUCUUCGGGGCUGCAGUAUGAAAACUCUGCCUGUCAUCAGCUAGGUCCUAGUUUCUUUAAAGUUAACUGCUGUAGUGUGAAGUACAUUCCUCACAAAGAUGGUCUUGUUUUAGUCCUUUAUAGCUGGAACCUUUUGAGAAAGGAAGGCUCAGAUUAGCACUGACACUGUUGGUUUUUUUUUUUCCCUGCUCAUCAUGGGAGUGAGCACAAGAAAAUAGAUGAAGUGGUGCCUGGAUGCUUGGAUGCAGAAUAGUUAGAUGAGCACGGUGGUAGUUCCUGCUCUUGUCUUGAGUACUCUCUGCUAGAAAGUGGAUAUGAAAAACAGCACUUUCACUGCUGACCUGGCUUCCCACUGUAAUGGCUCCAUGUGCUCUUAACAGGAAAGCUCUGUUGGAUGUGUGUUUUGCUCUCAAAUCUGCUAUUGGGUAUCACACCUGUGCUUGUUUUUGGUUAAAGGAGACAUUCUGGAGCAGGAGGUAUGAAAUUGGAGAUGCGAGAAAAUAGGGUGUAGUUAAUGAGAGAAACACACUUGGAACACAUCAAGGAGAAUGCUUUCUUCACUUCCUUCACCCAAACAUUUUGUUUUGUUUGCUUGUUUUUUUAAUAAUGAAAUUAGUAUAAUGUAGGGGAUUUUCUGAAGCAUGGCUGUGUUAUAAUUAGUGGAGAUGAUAGUAUUAUUUAGCUAAAUUGCAAGAGUUAUUACUAGAAUUAUCUUAUCUGAGGUCUUAAUAUAUGUUUUUAAGAUAUCUUAAAUCAUUAUGGAGUAAUAAAAGUGAAUUAAUUAAAUUCCCACUGUGUUUUUAUUGCUCUUAGUGGAUAACACCAGCCAUUUAGGAACUGAGCCUUCAGAAAGUUUCUAAACUCUUCCAUAUGGUGACGUUUCACAGUGCCAAGUCCCAGUAGUCACUUCCUGUUUGUUUCUGGUAUACGUUUCUCUUCGAUUACUAUAGCUUGUUAAUUCCUCUAAACAUUAUGUGCUAUUGUUGGUGUUGGUGCUAGACCUCAUGUACGUCAUUCUCUGCAAUGUCAUCUGCUUUAUUUAGCUUUUAUUAUUUGGUAGGUGCUGAUUUACUCAGCUAAGUCGUGGUUGAUUUCUUUCUGACUAAGGAAACAUGGCUUUUAUGUUCCAGAAGUUGUCAAGAGAAUGCCAUGGUAGCAGAUGUAACCCUAAUCUGGAUUCUGUAUGUGCAUUAGAAUUGUCUGAAUCUGCAUGGCUUCGAAAUGCAUUGUAAUUUGCAAUUUAUUUUGCAACUGCAGUAACAGAAGUAGUGUUGCUAAACUAUAUCAUCGUGUUUACACAGCAUGGGGCAGAACUAAAGUGACCCAGUGCAUAGCAAUCAUCCUUGACUUCUUGGCACUUGACAGUGCCUACUCAAAAGAUUUAAGGGUGCUGCAGGGUAUUUGUCUGCAGUAUUAUGUUUUCCAUAAUUUUCAUUCUACAGUUAAAUCAGCUGCCUGCUGUAUGCUCUGUAUAUCCAUUAUGGCAAGGUGUCCCACCAACAGUUUUUUACAACUGUUUUAAAAUCCCUGCCAAAUUUGAAUCCCUCCUUGUAUUGUGGGAGCUUUAACCACAUUUCCAAGUUAAGUGUUCAGAAUCAGUUGUCAGUUUUAUAUAUGUAUGUGUAUUAUUCAUACAAUCACAGAAUGGCUUGGAUUGGAAGGGACCUUAAAGCCCAUCCGGUUCCAACCCCCUGCUGUGGGCAGUGCCACCCACCAGCUCAGGCUGCCCAGGCCCCAUCCAACCUGGCCUUGAGUGCCUCCAGGGAUGGGGCACCCACAGCUCCUCUGGGCAAGAGUUCUGGAGCACAUCUGGGAGAAGCAAAAUAAUUUACAGUGUGUAAUGGUAUGUAAUAUUUCUUGCUUUUCCUACUUGAUGCGUCUCUAUGUACUCUUUCAAAAAAGAGUCCAUUAAUGGAAAAUUUCAGACAGGGACACAGUAGUUCUGGGAAGUUAAAAAUGACUGAAUGUGCUCUAUGUAGAAGGGAGUCGGGUUAGCCUGGAAAGAGUUACGCUGUUUAAGACAGAGUGGUCAUUACCACUCCAAAUUCUGACACGUUUGUAUCAAACUGAAAUGAAAUCUGCUAAGGCAUUAUAGUGAUGCAUGUAUUGGCAAAGUUUAAAUUGCUAGUAAAGUACCAGAUAGGAGGAGUUUGUGAUGUCUUCUUCAGUGAAUAUUUGCAAGCAGGUCUUCAAAGAAAAUGUUGCUUUUGUUUUUUGUUUGUUUUCUUUUUCUUUCUAGAAUUGUUAAAGGAUUAAUGUGAUUUUGUGUUGAAAAAUAACAUGAAUUACACUUUUUUUUUUCCCUCAGACAGCUAGUGAACUGUGAAUGUGGGAAAAAAAGACAAGAUAAUCACACUCUCAUCUUUAAUAUAAGAGGCUCUGAUUUUGUUUUGUAUUUUUGCCUUUCUGCCAAAAAGAUCAGGUGGAACACAUUGAGCUUGUUCUGCAAUUUAGGGAGAAAUCUGGUUUUAAGAAGCACAAGAAGAGACUAUUUCAAGAACAAGUGACAACUGGGAUUCUCUUUCUGAGGUGUCUUAUCUUGUGAACUUCAUGUGCGCAGUCCACAGUCAUGGCAGAGCUCAAGAAAGGACUAUCCUAUAGCUGGAUCUUUAUCCAUGUGAGGCUAUAUAGAUCAUUUGUGGACAUUUUGAUUUGUUUCCAGCAGCUACGUCAGGAUCCAAGAUGCCACAGUGCUGUAUGAUUGCUGUAUGACUACUGUAUGACUAGCUGGGCUAUCCAGCGUAGCUUUGUAUGUGUAACAGAACACACGGAAUGACAGUGAUUUUGUAAUUGAGGUAGUGAUCAAAAGAAUAUUUUGUCUGGCUGUCACAGAGCCUUUAGCUGAAGGGAAGUAUCAAAUCCUCUUGACUAUCUGAAGACGAUAAAAGGCAGCUUAGACCAACGCUCUUGCUCUGGAACGUUACAAAGGGCUAAGGGUUUUCUAUUUAAUAAUGUUACUGUCAUUUUCUUUGAACUCUGACCAACUGCCCUUCUGGUAAGGGUUCUACAAAACAGCAUGUAUAGUGUGGAGGCUUCAAAACCUACACUCAGCAAGAAGGUAAUAUUGUGUUGUGUAUUGAUGUGUGGACUCAUUGAAGCUCAAAAUAUGGAGUUUUGGAUGUAAGAUCGUGCUUCUGUAGUAGUUUUGACGUUCUGGAUUUUUUUUUCCUCUUCUGAUAGGAGUGAUUAAUGCAGGACUCAGUGUCUUGUGAAGGUAGUUCAGUAGCUUACCAAGAGUGAUGCUAGUGGAGGAACCACAGGAAGUGCAUUUUGUUCUGCUUGGCCAUUAUUGUUUUUUUUUGAGGUUCUUCUGUGUUGGUUUUUGUUGUUGUGUUGUUUUU